GUGUAGGAGAUUCAGAUUUUGUAUCCUCUGAAUCAUGCGUGGAACACAAGGUCCUUUGAUUAUUGCUUCUCACUACAGAUCAUAGUUGGUUUCAGCAGCCUUUGGCGUAAUGUUGCCAGGUAUCUGAGUCCAUUGUCAGCUGCUCCUUUGACAGGGUAGUUGGCUUUGGACUUUAUGAACGGGGUUUUCCAUCGAUAUGAUUUGAGCAUUUUGUCUGCACUGGAUAUUUGUGUACGCAUACAUACUCCUUAUGCUUGAACUACAAAUACGCAGGUAAGUGUGUUGAGAUUGGUCUGCCUGAACUAAUUCUCUUGGUUAGCUUGUUUUUUGCUUAGUGUACCCGAGGUUCAUCUCGGGAUUCCUGAUCCGCAUGUCGAUCUCGCAUAUACACUUGUUGCGUAUGUGUUGCAUUGCAUCAAUUAAUUGGCUAAAUGCUAUUGUGAAUAUAAUUAAUUCUUCCUCGCCUAAAUUUUUUGUUUUCUUAAGCUUACUAAUACAUGAUAGUGUUGUGAAGUACUCCCUCCGUAAUAUUUUUUAUUUUUUGUCUAUUCCAUGAAGAGUGCCUACUGAGGUUACAGAACUGGAUAGAAGUUCAUUAUGAUAGUUCAUACAGAGAGUUCAUUAUGAGAGUUCAUACAGAGAGCAUCAGCUAGCCGUUCUCUCUCAAGUCUGUCAGGAUAGGACCGAAGCACACACCGAAGUAACCUGAACCUUAAACAUCCUGCAGAUCGUCGGUCCACUCAAUCUGCUCAUCACGAAGCAGUAAAUCAUUUCCUGCUCAUCAUGAAGUAGCAAACCAGUUCUGUGCUAGACCACCCAUCGCGUGCAUGUACUCAUGGCUCACAAAAAUAUAAAUAGAAGUUGGCAAUACAGCUUCCUUUUCUAGACCUCCAGAUUCCAUCAACACAUACAUUUGUUGGCUUUUCUUGCCAAGAAAACUGCAGAGAGGUGAAGGCUGGUGAAAAUCGAGACAUGAAGCCUUUUUGUCAGCUAAGUUUAAGUUAUUUGUUGGCUUUUCUUGCCAAGAAAACUGCAGAGAGGUGAAGGCUGGUGAAAAUCGAGACAUGAGGCCUUUUUGUCAGCUAAGUUUAAGUUGAUUCAGACAACGCACGCGACAAAGGGAGAGGGUGAACAAUGAUUGCAAUAUGUACUCUUUUCCAUCCAUGGAGAUGAUAUGAGAGCAAUGUGGGUAUUCAUGCCCCCAUUUUCCCCCUAGCUUUAAACUGCACACAGAGAAGUAAAAUUGUGCAAAGGACUACUACUGGUCAUUGUUGUCUGAAAACACGGAAGAGAGAUCAGAGUUCGGAGAACAUCGUCAUGACCUGCAAAGGACAGAGGAUAAUUAGGAUCGAUCGACUAUGUCUUCCUGCAUAUAACAUACAAAUAAAUAAAUUGGGGUCAAUCAUGUGGUGGAUUAAAAAUGAACUCUCUUUUGCUGAAUUUCAAUCAUGUCGAUGGUAAAGUGUAACAACUAAAAUCAGGUAGAGAAGACAAUGAAUCACAUAAUAGCGAAC